rfam:Bacillus gaemokensis strain JCM 15801 contig11, whole genome shotgun sequence.
GGGAUAUUCGUAUAGAGGUUAUUAUCUCUGGCUUCCAACCAGAUGACAAGGGUUCGAUUCCCUUAUACCCCU